ACGACCUAUCGCCCACUCCUCACGCCCGCACGACCUCACAGCACGGAAGGGCAGCCGCGGGAGCCAUCGACCGAUGGAGCCACCCUUCACCGUAGGUCGCCGCGGGAGCCGUCGCGCUCUUAGCCGCGGGAGCCGCCGCCAGGGACGCCGCCGCGAUGCCGCGGGAGCCGCCGCCAGGGACGCCGCCGCGAUGCCGCGGGAGCCGCUGACGGAGCCGCCCGCCGCGCCCUUCGAGCCGCAAGUCGCCGUUCCUCUUCUGCUUCCCAGCGGCCAAAUGCGAGCGUACAACCAAGAGCAUGUGGCAGAGGAGCGGAGGCGUGGGACGCAACAUGGGGCAGAGGAGCAAUGGCGUGGUGGUUACGCAGAGGGAAUGUUCGUGAGGACGAAACGGUAUGAAGUAGUAACUCCACUAGAGAACAUCAUGGAUAUGGAGGUGGAGCACCCAUGCUUUUCAUAGAUAUAGAUACUGAUAUUGCCAUGUUCCGGUGAAGGGUAAUCAUUGUCAUAUGUGUAUUCUGGAAGUUGAAACGAUUAAAUACAUACCCCUGAGGAUUUGGAUGAACAGUAUGUCAAUGUCAACCUAGAUGAUGGUGACUUCUUCUGCGUCGAGCAUCAUCAUCAAGGUAUUUCUUUCCACAAACAGAAAUUAAAAUGUGUAGUGAUGGAUGAAAAUGGAACCUAAAUUAAAAUGUUAUAGCUUGGAACACACUUGUAUGCACCAGUAAAUUCUACUGGCUACCUCCAUAAGUGAAGCACAAACCUUGGUUGAUAUGAUA